rnacentral:misc_RNA from 1 species
UCCCCGUUAUCCUGGGCAGUCCUUCCAGAGUUCCCGGCAUAACCCGUUGGCAACUGGAGGCAAGGGUUGCGCUCGUUGCGGGACUUAACCCAACACCUCACGGCACGAGCUGACGACAGCCAUGCAGCACCUGUGCUGGCUCCCCUUGCGAGGUCAUCCCCGUUUCCGGUUCUUACCACCAGCAUGUCAAACCUGGGUAAGGUUCUUCGCGUUGCGUCGAAUUGAACCACAUGCACCACCGCUUGUGCGGACCCCCGUCAAUUACUUUGAGUUUCACUCUUGCGAGCGUACUCCCCAGGAUAACGGGGAGGAAGGUGGGGAUGACGUCGACGUCAUAACC